AGAAGACAGAAAACUCAGUGGGUUUCUGGAGUAACAUGCCUCUGUCCCCUGCUGUUCCUGAAGCCAUUGGAAGUUCACUUCAGAUCCCACUGCUGCCACCAAAUCUGUUAAAAGACAAAAUUCAACUGAGUAAGAAGUGCACAACACUUUGGAAGUGGACUGAUUUAGAAACACUCUGCAGACAGAGUGUGGGCCAUCUCAGCCCUUCUAAAGCUUGUUUUCUAGGGUGGGACACUACUUCAAACUGCUUUCAUGUCAAAAUGUGCCUCAUCUUCGUGGGAGUUCCCAGCAUCAGACUAAUGGGGGUGGAAGCAUAAUCCCCUCCUAUAAACUGGAGAACCUUGGACCAUUUGAUCAGGCUCCUGUACCAUGACUUCAUGAUGAGAUGGAGAAAACGGUGCCAAUAUACUUUUCUCUAGGACUAAAAUCACGGUCAUAGAAAUCUAGG